AUGAACCGGCAAUGGAUGUACGGUGACAGACACACCUCCGAGUACAUUAAGGGCGUGCAUGAUUUUCUCGAAGUGGCUGAGGCAAACAAGCAGAAUGGUUUUAUGUGUUGUCCAUGCCCUACAUGUGGGAAUACAAAGUCUUACUCUGACCGAAAAAUCCUUCAUGCCCACCUGCUUUACAAGGGUUUCAUGCCACACUAUAAUGUUUGGACGAGGCACGGAGAAAUGGGGGUUAUGAUGAAAGACGGCGAAGAAGAAGAGGACGAUGACAACUAUGUGCCCCCUGAAUACGGUGAGGCUGCAACGGGGGAAGCUGCUGAAGAUCAAGAGGAACUAGACGAUGUGCCCAAUGAUGCUGCAAGGGGGGAAGCUGCUGAAGAUGAAGAGGAACCAGUGCCCGAUGAUGAUGAUCUCCGCCGGGUCAUUGUCGAUGCAAGGACGCAAUGCGAAAGUCAAAAGGAGAAGCUGAAGUUCGAUCGCAUGUUAGAGGAUCACAAAAAAGGGUUGUACCCCAAUUGCGAAGAUGGCAACACAAAGCUCGGUACCGUACUGGAAUUGCUGCAGUGGAAGGCAGAGAAUGCUGUGCCUGACAAAGGAUUUGAGAAGCUAUUGAAAAUAUUGAAGAAGAAGCUUCCAAAGGAUAACGAAUUGCCCGACAGUACAUACGCAGCAAAGAAGGUCGUAUGCCCUCUAGGAUUGGAGGUGUAG
rnacentral:rRNA from 1 species